rnacentral:lncRNA from 1 species
UCGCCCGCAGCAUCCUCUCCAUUCCACUCGCAUCGCAAGUGCCGUCCUUUUAUCACCGAUCACCAGAUCCGAUCACUGAUAGGCUAUCAAUCCACGGAUUCGCGAAAAGCCGCCCGGUCCGCGUCACCCGCGCGGCGCUCGCAGGCUUGCUCCGGUAGCAGCCUCAACUCAUCAGUCCCCCGUCACCACUCCAAGUUGUGCCAGGCCGAUCCGGGGAAAAAACACUCGGGAUGUUUUAAGAAGCGGCUGUGCGUUAUCGUCGGUAAUUCAGUGCACUUGUGCUCGUCGUCGGUCGUGUGUGAUGUCGCGAGUGAAUGCGUGCUUCUAAUUAUCCUCGUGUGUUCAGUGCUCAGACGCGUCUGUGGUCAUCUCGGUUAGCGACCGCCUCUGGAUUCGAUCCGGGUUAAUUCGUGUCGAAUGAAAGCUCCCUCGCGCCCUCUGCCAUCCCUUCAAAGAGUUCGAGGGCUCAGCAACGACGCUAGCGUCCUAUGCUCUUGUGCCAGGAUCAACGUACUCCCUUGGUCAUGGGGUCCCUCCUUCCUUAGGCGUGGGCGGCCUUGGACGCGAUUCCCACCAAAAUGUGGGCCGAUUGGAUUCUCCAACGUUUACUCUGUCUUUUAUGCCACGUGGACUGACUGUAUAUGUUUGAAAAUGGAGUUGGUUACGUAUACAAGUCGAACAAAUCUGUCUGGACUUUGAAGUGUAUGCUAUGUGGACAGACAUGCAGUCGAGUGAAAUCUAUUGAAAUUUCACCGGCGAAUGAAGUUUACGGUAAUAAAUGUCUGGAUUUUAGCGUGACGUCAUUGUCAUUUCAGAGAUAAAGAGACCUAAACUUUAAGAUUUGUAAGUAUGAGGAAAAUUCUCAUCAAAAUGUAUCUUCGCCUUAGCUCAAAAGUAAUUUAUUUGCACUGGUGAUUUGCUCGGGCUCUAGGAACAUAAAAUGACAAAACGUCAUUUCUUUACAUUGUAAACUGUUCUGAGCUCAUGGUGCAAACUUAUUUAUGCGAUGUAGGUUUGAAGUUUGAAAUGCAAAAUGACUCUC